AAUAUACUCCCUCCGUCUCAAAAUUCUUGUCUUAGAUUUGUCUAAAUACGGAUGUAUCAAGUCACGUUUUAGUAUUAGAUACAUCUGUAUCUAGACAAUUCUAAGACAAGAAUUUUGAGACGGAGGGAGUAUAAG
rnacentral:pre_miRNA from 1 species